rnacentral:rRNA from 1 species
AUGAGUGGAACAACGUUCCGAUAUUUAAUAUCACUGGCAGUGAAAAUGAAUUUGUCUAUCCAACUGAUGGAUGUUGUGACUGCAUAUUUAUAUGGGUCACUGGAUUCGGAUAUUUAUAUGAAAAAAUUUAAUAUGGAUAAAGCAUAUCCAUCGAAAACACCAAUGGUUGUUAGAUCUCUUGAUAGAGAUAAAGAUCCAUUUAGACCUAAGGGUGAUGAUGAAGAGGUAUUAGGACCUGAGUUUCCUUACCUCGGUGCUAUUGGAGCACUAAUGUAUCUAGCAAACUGCACCAGGCCUGAUUGUAUUACACAGAUGCAAACAGGUUAUAUAAAGAGUAAUAUUACAAAGCAUAUUUCUCCUAAGUUAUUUUAUCCCCAUGAGUUACAGCAGACCGGGGAAAUAAUAUUUUGCAAACGAAGUCAUGUGAUAAUCUUGUUGAUUUGUUCACAAAAUCAUUACCAAGUUCUUUAUUUGAGAAGUACAUCAAUAGAAUUGGUAUGA